AGGAUGAACGCUGGCGGUCUGCUUAACACAUGCAAGUCGAACGGAGUAGAAAUACUUAGUGGCGGACGGGUGAGUAACGCGUGAGAAUCUACCUUCAGGACGGAGACAACAGUUGGAAACGACUGCUAACCCCCGAUGUACUGAAAAGGCAAAUAUUUAUAGCCUGAAGAAGAGCUCGCGUCCGAUUAGCUAGUUGGAGAGGUAAAAGCUCACCAAGGCGACGAUCGGUAGCCGGUUUGAGAGAACGAUCAGCCACACUGGGACUGAGACACGGCCCAGACUCCUACGGGAGGCAGCAGUGGGGAAUCUUGGACAAUGGGGGAAACCCUGAUCCAGCCAUGCCGCGUGAGUGAUGAAGGCCCUAGGGUUGUAAAACUCUUUCGGCGGGACGAUAAUGACGGUACCCGCAGAAGAAGCUCCGGCUAACUUCGUGCCAGCAGCCGC
rnacentral:rRNA from 1 species